GAUGAACGCUGGCGGCGUGCCUAAUACAUGCAAGUCGAGCGAACAGACGAGGAGCUUGCUCCUCUGACGUUAGCGGCGGACGGGUGAGUAACACGUGGAUAACCUACCUAUAAGACUGGGAUAACUUCGGGAAACCGGAGCUAAUACCGGAUAAUAUAUUGAACCGCAUGGUUCAAUAGUGAAAGACGGUUUUGCUGUCACUUAUAGAUGGAUCCGCGCCGCAUUAGCUAGUUGGUACGGUAACGGCUUACCAAGGCAACGAUGCGUAGCCGACCUGAGAGAGUGAUCGGCCACACGGGAACUGGGACACGGUCCAGACUCCUACGGGAGGCAGCAGUAGGGAAUCUUCCGCAAUGGGCGAAAGCCUGACGGAGCAACGCCGCGUGAGUGAUGAAGGUCUUCGGAUCGUAAAACUCUGUUAUUAGGGAAGAACAAAUGUGUAAGUAACUAUGCACGUCUUGACGGUACCUAAUCAGAAAGCCACGGCUAACUACGUG
rnacentral:rRNA from 1 species